GAAACGACUGCUAAUACCGCAUACGAUCCAAUCUCGGCAUCGAGACUGGAUGAAAGGUGGCCUCUAUUUAUAAGCUAUCACUGAAGGAGGGGAUUGCGUCUGAUUAGCUAGUUGGAGGGGUAACGGCCCACCAAGGCGAUGAUCAGUAGCCGGUCUGAGAGGAUGAACGGCCACAUUGGGACUGAGACACGGCCCAGACUCCUACGGGAGGCAGCAGUAGGGAAUCUUCGGCAAUGGGGGCAACCCUGACCGAGCAACGCCGCGUGAGUGAAGAAGGUUUUCGGAUCGUAAGGCUCUGUUGUAAGAGAAGAACGAGUGUGAGAGUGGAAAGUUCACACUGUGACGGUAACUUACCAGAAAGGGACGGCUAACUACGUGCCAGCAGCCGCGGUAAUACGUAGGUCCCGAGCGUUAUCCGGAUUUAUUGGGCGUAAAGCGAGCGCAGGCGGUUAGAUAAGUCUGAAGUUAAAGGCUGUGGCUUAACCAUAGUACGCUUUGGAAACUGUUUAACU
rnacentral:rRNA from 1 species